CUCCAGACUCGCCGCCGUCGCCCUGUGAGACACGGACGCAGCGCAGCAUGGACACUCGGCAGCGGCGGAAUGAAGGCGGGCCGGAGCCGGUGUCCGCAGAGCUGGCGGAGCGGAGGAGGGAGGCUCGGGGCUGCCUGCGGACCCUGUCCCAGCACUCCUACUGGUUCGACAUCUGGGUCUUCCUCCUGUUUGACCUGAUCCUGUUCGCGUUCAUCUACCUGCUGCCCUGAGUCGGUCACAGUAGAUGCCGCUCCGGGUCGUAGCUGAGAUGUAGACGUGUAAUAUUAUUACUAAUCAUGGAAACGUCUUAAGCAGUUGUGGAAAAAAUGCUGCAAAGUGAGAAUGUUUU